rnacentral:lncRNA from 1 species
CAAGUAUAUUCCAAGAAUAUUCCACGGUAGAUUGUGCGCCAAAAUAGAAUAGCUUAGAAUCCAAGCAAAAGCAGCAAAAGGUGCUCUGGAGGGUGGCACGGCCGUGCCAAGGCUAGCACGGGCCGUGCCAGGCUUCUGACUUAUGGGAGACAUAAUUUGUCUCUCAAUCUUUAUAUUUUUGUGUCCAAUUCGCUCCAAACCCCUUUCUUUUGCUCCAAGAUUCAAUCCAUCCAAUAUUCUUCCCUGAAAUAUAAUAAAUUGCAAUUUAAAGUAAACUAUCCUAAAAAGGAAAUAAUACUAAUAUAAAAAUAUAUAAAAUCUAAAUAAAACUAAAAUAAAAAGCAUAUUAAAAUAAACAAUAAAUGACUCAUCAAACUCCCCCACACUUGAAUCUUUGCUUGUCCUCAAGAAAAAGGCAUAAACAUAGUAGCAUCAAUAGUUAAUUCAAAUGACAAUUCAAUUAAAGCACAUGUCUCCUCAAGGGCUUAAAUCCCAAAUGUACACUAAUCACAAACUUAAGCAUUUCUUGAAAUCUUUAUUCAACCCAACGAUCAAGUUUCAAGUGAGUGUGUGUAUGAAGUCCAACCCUUUUCUUGCUCCUGUAUAAGAUAGGUAUUAUGAGGAAACAUGGUCUAAUCCUAGCACUAAACUAACCAAGAAAGAUUCCUUCUACAAUUCAUAUAAGAGAG